rnacentral:rRNA from 1 species
UACGUAGGGGGCAAGCGUUGUCCGGAAUCAUUGGGCGUAAAGAGCGUGUAGGUGGCUCGGUAAGUCCGCUGUGAAAGUCCAGGGCUCAACCCUGGAAAGCCGGUGGAAACUGUCGAGCUCGAGUCCGGAAGAGGCGAGUGGAAUUCCUGGUGUAGCGGUGAAAUGCGCAGAUAUCAGGAGGAACACCAAUGGCGAAGGCAGCUCGCUGGGACGGUACUGACACUGAGACGCGAAGGCGUGGGGAGCGAACAGG